GAUCAGUGAUGAGAAUAGCCAAAUCUGAGCAUCAGAGAACUUUCCAUCUACCUGAUGCAUGAUCUCCACAGUUCUGAGA
rnacentral:snoRNA from 1 species